UCUGAAAUCGAUAAACUAAAUCUUCACAAACAGUGCCAGCUGGGCGUUCUGCCGCUGGGCACCGGAAAUGAUCUGGCGCGGGUGCUCGGCUGGGGGCCGUCCUGUGACGAUGACACUCAACUCCCUCAGAUACUGGAGAAGCUGGAGCGAGCCAGCACCAAGAUGCUGGACAGGUGGAGUAUAAUGAC